AACGAACGCUGGCGGCAUGCCUAACACAUGCAAGUCGAACGAGACCUUCGGGUCUAUUCGCGCACGGGUGCGUAACGCGUGGGAACCUUCCCUUAUGUUCGGAAUAACUCCCCGAAAGGGAUGCUAAUACCGAACAAUAUCUUCUGACCAAAGAUUUAUCGACUUUGGAUGUUCCGGCGUUGGAUUAGCUCUUUGGUACGGUAAAAGCCUACCAAGCCGUGCAUCCGUAGAUUGUAUGAGAGGCUGAUCAGCCACACUGGCACUGAGAAACGGCCGAGAAUCCUACGGGAAGCAGCAGUGCCGAAUGUUGGACCACGGGGGGAAGCAUGAUCGAGCAAUGACGGGUGAGCGAUGAAGGCAUUAGAGUACUAAAGCCCUUUUAACCGGGCUGUUCAUGACAGUACCGAGAGAAUAAGCCACGGCUAACUCCGUG
rnacentral:rRNA from 1 species